ensembl:lncRNA
ACUUUCUAAUUCCAUACCCCUGCUUUUAUUGUGGAUAAUUCCUUGUUUUACAUUAUUUCAAAUAAAAAAUUUAUUAGUUCUGUUCAUACGAAGCCUAAACUUUGCAACCCGAUUCAUAUUUUUGUUGAAUUUUUUUUUUUGCUUAAUUCCUCUGACCAGGGCUGUGCUUUGUGACAUGGUGCUCCAUCAUGCUGAAAAAUGCACAGAUCAUCACCAAAUUGCUCAUGGAUUGUUGGAAGAAGUCGCUCUUGCAGGACGUUUUGAUGCCAUUCUUUAUUCAUGGCGGUGUUUUUGAGCAGAAUUAUGAGAGAGCCCACUCCCUUGUUUGAAAAGCAACCCCACACAUGAAUGGUCUCAGCGUUCACCUUUUCUUCAUUGUAAGGGGCUGAGAGAGAAAAUAACUUUGCACAAGUCUUCUGCUGUCCAAUCCUUGUACUUCCUUUAGAAUUUCAGUCUGUCCUUCACAAUUUACUUGGAGAGAAGUGGCUUCUUUGCUGCCCUUCUUGACACCAGGCUGCUAUCCAAAAGUCUUGGCCCCACUAUACAUGCAGAUGCUCUCACACCAACCAGCUGCCAUUCCUGAGCAAGCUCUGCACUGGUGGAGACACAAUUCUGUAGCUGACUCCUCAGGAGGAGACGGUCCUGGCACUUGCUGUACACUCUAGACUGUCCUGAAGACUUCUAUACUGCAGUCAAACCUCUCUCCUUGAAGUUAUCAAUGAUCCGGUAAAUGGUUCUAUCAGGUGCAAUAUUCUUUGUAGCAAUUUCCUUGCAUGUGAGGCCAUUUCAAUGCGAAGUGAUGAUGAACCAUUGCUAACAAGAACACAAUGAUUGGAAGUGCUUCUUCCCUCCUUUUAUCGCAAUCAGUCUGUUCUUACAGUCUAUUUAGUAUGAUAGUGAUUUCACCUGACUAGGACUCAUACACACUUUCACAUGUGCUGCUGAUAUGAUUAGUCAAUUAGUGUUAGCUGGUUAUUUUUGUGUCAGGAUCAAAAAACAGUGAAAUUUAUUUGUUUUUUUUGUGAAAAGUUCAUUUUUUUUGGCAAUUUAGCUUUCAGCGAUUAUUUAAAAUGCAUCUGAUCACACUACACAAUAAUAUAGAAACAAUGUGAAUAAACACCACAACAG